AAUACUUCCUAGGUGAUUCUGACGCAGGCGCUCCACGGAAACCCUCCGAGAAUUCUGGGGGCCGUGGGGCCGCCCAGCUCAGUCCGGAGCUCCGGAACUCGGGGAAGAGCGUCCGGGAGCCGGGUCUGGGUUCCGCACUCCGUCCGCCCCGAUGGCAGAGAGUGAGAUACGGACGCCCCGGGACGAGGGGCUCAGGACCCGGCUACGGACACCUGCCUCCAUCUCCCUCCAGAUAACACAAGUGUGAAGAGAGGGGAGAGCAGCAAAGGCUGAGCUGCGUGUGCCUGGUCCCUUCCAGACUUUCCAGAUAACUUUGCCCCACGGAGGACAAGGAAAGCCAAAAGAGAGAAGCCAGGAUUGUUAGUCUUGGAAAAUGCCUCCAUAUAGAAACAUGAGCCGGAGAAUAAAUCACUUGCCUCUCUAACCAGUUGGAUUUGGUCCGUGAGUUCCUAGUUUUGUUCACCUGACUUAGUCCCUGACUUUUAAAGUCAAGUGCAUCAACAUGCUGCCAGUACUUUGAUGAACAUCUAUACAGGAUCCAUCUCUACAGCAGUGAAUUCCACCUGGGGUAAAGUAUGCAUGUAGGUUAGGAUGCUACAGUGGGACUCUGUCUGCUUUUUCUGUCUGUUUCUGCUAAGGCCUCCACACAUUAGAUGGUCAGUACUCUUUGUUCUAUGGGAAGGGCUAGAAUACCUAAACAGGACUUUCACGGAGGGAGCAACAAACCAGUUUUGUGGCUCUCAGCAAACAUCCAUCUCAAAGGUGAGUUUGGAAAUAAUGGAGAGUAUGUCAGUGUGUUUGUGUCUCAGGCCUACUUCCCACGCCUAUGGGGGAAGGGUGGGACUUAUCUCUCUCUUCCCUCAAGCCUGCUAAGAGGAGAUUAGACUAUAUUUGAGAUAAAUACCUCCAGCACAGUGACAGCCAUGCAGCUCAUGCCUGUGAAAUCAAAAGGCAAGAGGAUGCGGCUGGCUGGCUGCUCUGAGGGCAGAGAGAAAAGACCAGACAGCUCUUGGAACAGACUGUUCUUCCAGUGACGAUGGGGACAAAGAUGCAUGAGUGUAUCUCCAGGACUGGAUGUGAGCUGCAUGGGAGAAAAAGAGUGCAGGCCUGCAGCCCGGGAAAACCCAAAAGGAUGCCAUAAACCCAACAGGAAGAUGGGUUGUCAGGGCCCCAGGAGCUGAGAAAGGAAUAAAAAUGACAGAGAGAGAAAAGUACAUUGUCCACAUCAUAAAUAACACAGCUGAAUGUGCCCAAUGAGGUCCUCAGAGAACCCACAGAAGUGCCCAUGGGAACAGUUCUCUCUGGGACUCAAACCCAGGGAGAGGUGCUUUUAAACAUGCAAAGAGAGGGAACCAUCAUCAUAUUACAUUGCAGUGUCCACAUGAAUAAGACCCUAACUUACCUCAUAUUUCUCCUCCUUCCUCUGCUUUAAUCCAGGAGGAGCCAGAGACCUCUCAGUAAGUGAAGAAGAGGGGAAAUAGGUAAAAAGCCACUAUUCCCCAUGUUAGAUGAGGAAAUAGGAACAUUCUCCUCCUCUACCCAACACCCACUGUAGCUUUUAGUGGCUGGAGUCAGGAGAGAAAAGUUUUCAUGUUAAAUGAAUUUCAGAGGUUUGACUAUGACAUAGAAAUGGAUAUUUUAAUUACUGAAAUAAAACUGUUUUGUAAUUAGAGGUGACUGGAAGACAUUUUAUCCUCAGCAGAAGAAUAGAUAAGGAUAGGACCUUCCCUCCCCCUUGGACCCCACCAAGGUUUUAUCCAGAGGCAGAGGAAGAAGUAACCCUUUAUGUGAGUUUGAAUGGGCAGAAGAAGAAAAGGAUGAAGUUGUCUUCUAAUUGCACUCUAUGAAUGUUGCUUUUUUGUUAACAUAAAUGUCACAUAUAUUUUUAGCUGGUGUAACAAAAAAAAAAACAUCUCAAGCCGGCUUGCAUAAUAACAGCUUUGGGCACAGUCUGAUCAAGGCCCCGGUUCUGUUUGCUAGUGAUCCUCCUGAUUCUGCCCUCUCUCCAUGCUAGUUUCUUCCUCAGAUUGACAUUCCUCUUGGUCACCAGAUGCCUACAAUCAGCGGGUGCAACUCUCUGCUCCCUGCUCACUUCUGAAGGGGAGAGCAUGGAUACCAACCACAGAACAAAGCCCUGCAGUCUCCCGCUGAGUAGAACACCCACGAAGAAGUGUUGGCCAUUUCCCUAUUGCCAGGGAAAUAUCAUGUAUUGGUUGGAUUAGGCCUGUAUUAAUCCAGUUAAUGGAACAUAGUUAAACUAUCCCAGACCCUCCAUAGACACUAGAGAAAAGGUGAAUCCAACCCAAAUGUAAGACUGCUACUCAAUAGGACAGAAAAGGCAUGGAUGUCAGUGAAAUGGGAAAAAAAAUGUGUGCCAAAGGAGAUCAGGAAGGACUGAAUAGAAGACAUGGCCUUUGAAUUGAAGCCUUUAAUGAGGAAAGGGGAUUGACAUUGUAUGAGGGCCAGGGUGGAGAGCGGGUUGUGAAGAGGAUAGGGAAAAUGCAAGGACACUGCGGAUAUAAGAAUUAAUGGGAGAAUCAUGGGCCACAAAGCAGCAGGAUUAUAUUACAGAGAUUGCGGUGCAUCAAAAGAUCAGGGUGAAACUGACUUCAAGGAAAGAGCCCUCGGCUAGAGGAAGAAGCCUGGAGAAGUAAAGGGAUUGCUCCUGGAAUUGGAAAUCUACCCUUUGCACUUCUAUUUACUGCAUUUGGAUUGAUUUGCAAGAAUAACCAUUAAAAUAAUCAAAGCUAAAAGUACAACGGAGUAAGUGUACUCACACCACCCUGUUCCUCCCACUGAAUGCGGCUAAAAAACCUGGGCAGAAUAAGUGGAGCAUCUGAGGACUCUGAAAAGUAAAUAAUAGCAGGCAGAUUGGAGAUGAAGACCAAAAUGGAGUUAAACAAGACCCCACAUCUUAUAACAUGUCAUUCAAAACGUCUAGAAUACAAUCCACAAGUGUGCAGCAUGCAAAGAACCAGGAAGAUCAUGACUCACUUAGGAACUAGCUGACAAAGACUUGCUAGCAGAGCUAUUGUAAAAAUGCUCCACCAAGUAAGGAAAUAAAAUCUUAUAUAGGUGGAAUAACAGAAUGUCUCAGCAAAGAAGUAGAAGAUUUAAAGAAGAACUGUCUGAAAUGUUAGAACUGAAAAAUAUAACUUAAAGAAACUCACUGGAUAGGCUCAAUAGCAGAAAAAAAUUAACAAAGAAAAAAGUGUACUUGGAGAUAGAUCAAUAGAAAGUAUUGAAUUUGCAUAACAGAGAGAGGCUGAGUGCGGUGGCUCAUGCCUGUAAUCCCAGCACUUUUAGAGG
rnacentral:lncRNA from 1 species